AAGGUGGCAUCGACAAGAAUGUCGAGCCAUACUAUAUCCAUUUAGGUUAUCUUCUGUUUAAAAAAUUAAAUAGAAAGCUGCCCUGAUUUUUAAAAGAACAGGGACUGCUAA
rnacentral:ncRNA from 1 species